UGCAGCCUCGUCAAAUUUGGCUCCGCCCACUCCUUGGUGGAUGCUGGCCAAUGGGCUGCUACAGAAACCUGUAGCUCAUGGGCCUCAUAUUCUGUCUGGUGGAGUAUGGGGAUAAGAUUGUGCUGCAGACAUAU